UGAUAGCCCAUAAAAUUGUGCCAAUAUUUACCUUACUUUAUUUUUAUUUUGCGAACUUUUCUUCACAUUGUGCAACAAGAUUCUAAAACCGUUACCUUGCGGGUUAGGACAACGGAAGAUUUUGCCCUUUAGCGUAAACAGAGUACGUUCGCGGCUCUGACAUUUAUUGGCUUUUCUUUAACACGUUAAACUUCUCUGUAGGUGAGCCAUUUAGCUAGUAGGAAGGGAAAUGCAGCAGUUAGAGUAACGAUAAUCAUUUAAAAUGAGGAAAAGAAAAGCCACCUGCUUCCGCAGCGAGCAGGGUUCGAACCUGCGCGGGGAGACCCCAUUGGAUUUCAAGUCCAACGCCUUAACCACUCGGCCAUCGCUGCCACGGAGACGUAAGAAACGCGGAGACACUUUAGUGUAAUAACUGGGCGCACGCGCGCCGCGCUCACCAAAAGGCGGGGCCUACAAACUCCCCAGCUUGGUUCAGAGAGGCGUCAGAGGUUGACCGCUCAAAUUGUGUGAACUAUAUCGUGGAAACGGAGAAAUAAUAGAAAUCCCCUCAAGUAGUUUAAGUAAACUCCUUUAAGUAGAAGGUCUGGGAAACCCUUUUCUUCUUUGAGCUCCGAAAAUCGCAAAGUUGCUUGGCUUCUAGUCGCCGACCAUGUUUUUGCCCUCCCACUUCCUCAUUAGGUAAUCGAGAUCCUGUGAAACAAAGACCUAUCCCAUUCAGUGCUGCGGGCCUGCGCUCUGGAGAGUUUCCGCAUUUCUGCGGGGGUGUGCGUCUUCGGCUGCGUUCCCACGUUGAGCGCGUUCCUUAAGUCCUCCUUUUUGUGCGGCAUGGGGGGAGGCGUGAGGAGUCGGGUCGGUGUUUGUAGCCUCGCCUGCCCCCAGCUUCUGCCCAAGCAGUACUCUCUCAUUCUUCCCCCAGUGGUACCUUUAUUGCUGAGCCCUGCUGGAAGAAAUCGGGCCCCGAAUGUGGUCUCAGCUCUAAGUGUUGAGGAGCAUUGGACGUGGUUUGAGAACCAAGUUCUGCGCAUUAGUAUCCAUCCUCUCAACUGAUGAUGACACUUUAGUUGUACUUAAAGAGGACCACUCCUCCCUCAUUGGAUGCAGCCUUACUUCAGCUGUUAGUCAAGGUAUCCCACCUUCUUCUGGCCAAGGGGUAGGCAUGUGACUUACAUUGUUUUUUUGUUGCUGCAUAACAAAUUACAACAAGUUUGGUGACUUAAAACAACAUGAAUUUAUCAUCUCACAGUUUCUGUGUGUCAGGAAUGUGGUCAUUGGGUGUGGUCAUGGGUUGACUGGGUCCUCUGCUUAAGGUCUGACCAGAUCUCAAGGUGGUGACUGGGACUUUGAUCUUAUCUAAGAUUUGGGGUCCUCUUCCAAGAUCACUAGUUGUUGGUAGAAUUCAGCUCCUGUGGUUGUAGGGCUUGCUGCCUGUCAGGGGAGGAUCACUCUCAGCUGCUAGAGGCUGUACCUUAUCAUGUGGUCCUCUCAGUAUGAUAGUUGGUUGUAGGUUCGUUCUUUAAGGCCAUCAGAAUUACUCUCUAGUUACUACAGUGGAGUUUUAUGUAAUAUAAGGUAAUCACAGAAGUGACUACUGCAUCAUGUUUACAGAUCCGGCUCAAGUGAGGGGGAUUAUAUAGGUGCAUACAUAUAGCUGGGGCAGGGAUCAUGGGAGCCAUUUUAGAAUCCUGCCUACCACAUAACUCAAGCUGGGCCAAUCAUAUCCUCUUUAAAUCCCUGUUCUAUCUGUUACACAGUUGUAUUUGUAUGGACAUUCCACACAAAAUACAUACAUAGUGAUCAAUGAGCGGUGUCUGGAAAUUUUACCUUAGCUGCCUUUUGUGCUUUUGUACCUCAUUUGAAAGAAAUAAAGUUGACAACAACUGCA
rnacentral:tRNA from 1 species